AAGGAGAUCCAGACCCAUUAGCCAACGCCAGUUCGUUACCCUCUAUGGAUUCCAGCCUCCAAGAGUCCCCAGUGUGGAUGUCAGCUCGAGUUCUCCAGCAGUCCGGUGGAACCCUCAAGCUUUGCCAAGCCGCGCUUUUACCUCCAGCCACGCCACAAGCCGCUUUCCUCUCCAGCUGCCCACCAAGUCACACCAACUUUCCUGGAAGGAAAAUAAAACCCAUUUCUUACCUUUCA